CCUACGGGUGGCAGCAGUCGAGAAUUUUUCUCAAUGGGGGAAACCCUGAAGGAGCGACGCCGCGUGGAGGAUGAAGGUCUUCGGGUUGUAAACUCCUGUCAUUUGGGAACUAGUACCAGAAGAGGAAGGGACGGCUAACUCUGUGCCAGCAGCCGCGGUAAUACAGAGGUCCCAAGCGUUGUUCGGAUUCAUUGGGCGUAAAGGGUGUGUAGGUGGCGCCGUAAGUCGGGUGUGAAAUUUCGGAGCUUAACUCCGAAACUGCAUUCGAUACUGCGGUGCUUGAGGACUGGAGAGGAGACUGGAAUUCAUGGUGUAGCAGUGAAAUGCGUAGAGAUCAUGAGGAAGACCAGUGGCGAAGGCGGGUCUCUGGACAGUCCUGACACUGAGACACGAAGGCCAGGGGAGCAAACGGGAUUAGAUACCCUUGUAGUC
rnacentral:rRNA from 1 species